rnacentral:miRNA from 1 species
CAUUGUGUAUAAAUGCCACAUUUUUUUUAUCCAUUCAUCUAUUGAAGGGCAUCUAGGUUGGUUUCACAAUAGCUAGACUGUGAAACCAACCUAGAUGCCCUUCAAUAGAUGAAUGGAUAAAAAAAAUGUGGCAUUUAUA